AUGGCUCAGGAUGAACGCUAGCGACAGGCUUAACACAUGCAAGUCGAGGGGCAGCAUAGAAGUAGCAAUACGUUGGUCGGCGACCGGCGCACGGGUGAGUAACGCGUAUGCAACCUACCUAUCAGAGGGGAAUAACCCGGCGAAAGUCGGACUAAUACCGCAUAAAACAGGGGCACCGCAUGGUGAUAUUUGUUAAAGAAAUUCGCUGAUAGAUGGGCAUGCGUUCCAUUAGGUAGUUGGUGAGGUAACGGCUCACCAAGCCGACGAUGGAUAGGGAACUGAGAGGUUGGUCCCCCACACUGGUACUGAGACACGGACCAGACUCCUACGGGAGGCAGCAGUGAGGAAUAUUGGUCAAUGGGCGGGAGCCUGAACCAGCCAAGUCGCGUGAAGGAAGAAGGAUCUAUGGUUCGUAAACUUCUUUUGCAGGGGAAUAAAGUGCAGGACGUGUCCUGUUUUGUAUGUACCCUGAGAAUAAGGAUCGGCUAACUCCGUGCCAGCAGCCGC
rnacentral:rRNA from 1 species